rnacentral:tRNA from 1 species
CCUGUGGUAGCUCAGUCGGCAGAGCGCGCUCUUGAUAAGGGCGAGGUCGGUGGUUCGAGGCCACCCCGCAGGAC